AGUGAACGCUGGCGGUAGGCCUAACACAUGCAAGUCGAACGGCAGCACAGUAAGAGCUUGCUCUUACGGGUGGCGAGUGGCGGACGAGUGAGGAAUACAUCGGAAUCUACUUUUUCGUGGGGGAUAACGUAGGGAAACUUACGCUAAUACCGCAUACGACCUACGGGUGAAAGCAGGGGAUCUUCGGACCUUGCGCGAUUGAAUGAGCCGAUGUCGGAUUAGCUAGUUGGCGGGGUAAAGGCCCACCAAGGCGACGAUCCGUAGCUGGUCUGAGAGGAUGAUCAGCCACACUGGAACUGAGACACGGUCCAGACUCCUACGGGGGGCAGCAGUGGGGAAUAUUGGACAAUGGGCGCAAGCCUGAUCCAGCCAUACCGCGUGGGUGAAGAAGGCCUUCGGGUUGUAAAGCCCUUUUGUUGGGAAAGAAAAGCAGCAGGUUAAUACCCCGCUGUUCUGACGGUACCCAAAGAAUAAGCACCGGCUAACUUCGUG
rnacentral:rRNA from 1 species